GAUGAACGCUGGCGGCGUGCCUAAUACAUGCAGGUCGAGCGAAUGGAUUAAGAGCUUGCUCUUAUGAAGUUAGCGGCGGACGGGUGAGUAACACGUGGGUAACCUGCCCAUAAGACUGGGAUAACUCCGGGAAACCGGGGCUAAUACCGGAUAACAUUUUGAACCGCAUGGUUCGAAAUUGAAAGGCGGCUUCGGCUGUCACUUAUGGAUGGACCCGCGUCGCAUUAGCCAGUUGGUGAGGUAACGGCUCACCAAGGCAACGAUGCGUAGCCGACCUGGGAGGGUGAUCGGCCACACUGGGACUGAGACACGGCCCAGACUCCUACGGGAGGCAGCAGUAGGGAAUCUUCCGCAAUGGACGAAAGUCUGACGGAGCAACGCCGCGUGAGUGAUGAAGGCUUUCGGGUCGUAAAACUCUGUUGUUAGGGAAGAACAAGUGCUAGUUGAAUAAGCUGGCACCUUGACGGUACCUAACCAGAAAGCCACGGCUAACUACGUGCCAGCAGCCGCCGUAA
rnacentral:rRNA from 1 species